UACGGAGGGGGCUAGCGUUGUUCGGAAUUACUGGGCGUAAAGCGCACGUAGGCGGCUUCUUAAGUCAGGGGUGAAAUCCUGGAGCUCAACUCCAGAACUGCCUUUGAUACUGAGAGGCUUGAGUCCGGGAGAGGUGAGUGGAACUGCGAGUGUAGAGGUGAAAUGCGUAGAUAUUGGGAGGAACACCAGUGGCGAAGGCGGCUCACUGGACCGGUACUGACGCUGAGGCGCGAAAGCGUGGGGAGCAAACGGG
rnacentral:rRNA from 1 species